ACACUGAUUGUCUAAAAACUUAUUGUCUGGUUCUGGUAAAAAAAAUCAUUAAAAUGCCAAAACAAUUUUAGUAUACUUUUGAAACAUCGUUACGCGUCGCCGGUGACACAAUGUGUUUCGAUUUAAUCGAGUUGGAAUGAUAUUUUCCUCAGUUUUCUCUCCGAAAAACCACUUUAUCGAAAACCCGUCAUCUCUCCGACAAGUCAUACUAAUAUGGAUUUCGUCAGCUCAGAUUCGUUAACUACUAAGUAUAAUGUAAUAUUACUGUCUAGG